CUGGUACAGGAAGGUGGUACAGGAAGUCUGGUACAGUGGAUUUCAAUUACUGGCUUACUGCCGUUUUAUUUAUUGUUCAAUAUUUCAACUUUUCAUCUAUUAAGUCUUAAGUGUUAGCUAAAACACAGUGUCGCAGAUUUUGCUAAGGAAAGCUCUAGUGUUGUGAUGGGUAUGCGAUGGAAUACUGACUCAUCUGUUGGAUAACUGUGAGGCGAAAGAUUUAUGAAACAUGCAUUUGCAGCAAUGAACAAUUUGCACGCUACCCAUAACAUUAAGUCAUUAAUCACGUGAAAAGGAUGGAUGGCCCUUGACUCAAUAUGGUGACAGCUUCAGGUUUUCUAUCCUUUAGUCUAAAUGAAAAUGAGUUGAAAUAAUACCUCAAAGUUGUGUUAGAGCCAAAAGAAUCUCAAACACUUUUUACAACCAAUUAGCUGGUGACUGAUGUUUAGGGCAACAAAACUGAAGGAAGACUGUUAAUCAGGAUAAGUUGGUAACUAGAAGUAACGAAUCCACAAAAGAAUGGAUCUGGCGUACUAAACGGAACCCCAUGCAGUUCGGGUUGAAAUCACAGUCAGAAGAUGCACUGAUGAAUCUACAGUCACUCAGCUGUACCAAUAACAAUUUCUCAUUUGUCACGUUCAUGGGACAAUCACGUCAUCAACUAGCACACCGGUCGAUUCUGAUGAGUUUCCGUGUGUGUUCCUCGAGCCCCAAUGGAAGGGAACGAACAAGAGAAAAGAAAGAAAUGAAAAACAGAUUGUAGUUCCAUCCAUCCGGUAACUGAGUACAGGCGACACAGACCAAUGUCAGAACAAAGGCCAAAACUACCUGUGGAAAUGACCUCCAUGUUUUGGGUGGAUUGACAGAGGAAGCAAACAUUCCAUGCGGAUGGAAAGUACAAUUCUGCAUCGCCAACGCUCGAUUAGACACAGGGCUCUUUUCAAGUUUUAUACAGGCUGGAACCCGCACAGUUUCAUACCGAUCGACAAUGCCCACGGUGCGUAUUUCCACAGGUGGUCGGCACGUGAAGUAAAAAUAUGAAACUCGACGAGGUUUAUCGCGCGAAGGACACCCAUUUGUCAACGCGAAUCGCACCUACAGGUCUGAAUACAGGACUUCGACCCUUUGCAAAAUUGCACGCAACAGAGCCUAUUCUUUUCGCAUCACUUCGAAAGUUGCAAUUAUGUUUUGAAUCACGUUUUAUGCGGAAGCUUCAACAUCACUUUAUGACACGUUCAAGAGGCGCUUCAUGUUUUGGAUGGAGUGACAGAGGAAGCAAACAUUCCGUGCGGAUGGAAAGUACAAUUCUACAUCGCCAACGCUCGAUUAGACACUGGGCCCUUUUCAAUAUCUACCUUGUUCAUUUUCAUGCAACCCUGCCCAUUCCUCCUCAAUUUCAUUGCAAAUUAUUCAAAAUGGUGGCCGUCUGGCAUGUUCAUUGUUGAAUUGAUAUUUCCUGUGAUGGUGAUUACAAUUCUCAGCUUUUUGACAACUGCAGCUGAAGUUUUUGUGUGCCCAAGUGCUGUUGGCAAUAGAGAUGAAAUGUUCCAGUCCAAUAAUGCAAGCUGUGUCUUUCAUAACCAGGAAUUUCUGUUUGCAAGGUUGACGCGAGUGUCUUCGUGAGGGGGACAAAAUUCCGCCAUUUGUUUCUGAGACACCGAGUGAAAAUGUAUUCCAAAUGCAUUGCGGAUUUACGGCGUCGUUCUACAUUUUCAAUCAAGAAAUUUAACAGUUUAUGUUUAGAGAUCCCUUUACAUAUGGAGGAAUUUAAGAACACGCAAAAUCUGAACUUCAUUGCUGUCUUUCGCGUUAAUGGUUUUGUUGCAGCCAGCUGGUGAAAGGUUUGAUUCAGUUUAACUGUACUUGCUGCAUCAGUCUUUAGUGGUGGUGUUAUCCUGAAGUGCGAAAGCGUAACCCAACUACAACUGCACGAAGACUUCUUGAAAUGGACUCUGUGGCAAGGUGUUUUUCAACUGUAUGAUGCUGUUCAAUAUGCAGUGGUUUUGCAGCCAUUUCCAGUUCAAGCUGUUUCAUGCUGCCUGUGGUGCUGGCAUAUCCUGUAAUGUGUUGUUUGUCAAAGUCUUUCAGUCUUUGUGUGUAAUGCCUGUGUCGAUGUCUCUGUGACGUACCGAGAUGAUUGGACAUAACUGAAGAAGUUUAUGAUUUAGAUGUAGACAAGUGCAUAUCUGGGCUCCCUUCUUUUCUGCGGUCCCGUUUCCCUAACUAACCAACGCC